GAGUUUUGGAGUGCGUUUCCAGCAAUAUGCUGAUGAUACGCAGCUCUACUACUCCUUUUCAUCUUCCCCAGGUGAGGCUGUUGAUGUACUAGACCGCUGCCUGGCCGCGAUAAUGGGCUGGAUGAGAGCUAAUAAACUGAAACUCAAUCCUAACAAGACUGAGAUGCUGUUGGUGGGAGGACCCUCUGCCCAGAUGGUUGACGUUCGACCUGUCCUAGAUGGGGUUACACUCCCCCUAAAGGAACAGGUACGUAGUUUGGGGGUCUUAUUAGAUCCGCUCCUGUCACUUGAGGCUCAGGUAGCCUCGGUGGCACAGAAUGCAUUCUACCAGCUCCGGCUGGUAGCCCAACUACGACCCUAUUUGAGCAAGGAGCAUCUUGCCUCAGUUAUCCAUGCUAUGGUAACCUCUAGAUUGGACUACUGUAAUGCACUCUACGUGGGGCUACCUAUGAAGACGGUUCGGAAACUUCAGCUAGUGCAAAAUGCUGCGGCCAGAGUUCUCACUGGGACAAAGAAAUUUGACCAUAUAACACCUGUCCUGGCGCAGCUGCACUGGCUACCGAUAUGUUUCCGGGCCAGAUUCAAAGUGUUGGUUCUUACCUAUAAAGCCCUAAAUGGCAUCGGACCGCAAUACCUGAUGGAGCGCCUCUCUCGCUAUGUACCUACCCGUUCACUACGCUCGACGUCGAAGGCCCUUCUCCGGGUCCCAACCCAUAAAGAGGCCCGGAGAUCAACAACUAGAUCUAGGGCCUUCUCAGUGGUGGCCCCCGAACUAUGGAAUGCCCUCCCAGACGAGAUACGCCUCUGUUAUCUUUUCGGCGCCAGAUGCCAAGGAUUGAACCUGAGGCCUUCUGCAUGCAAAGUAGGUGCUCUGCCCGUUGAGCUCUGCCCCUUCCUCUAUGGCGACUGUUGUGUCUCUGCACAAGUCCUUCUCUGAGCUGGCCACCUUGCAGUUAGAACAGUGACUCAACAGAAACACAAGUAUUAACUCCUCUGCAGCAACAAAUAAGCAAAGCAUUUCAGUGCUUGGGAAAUAUGGCCUUCCUGAAACAGAAUGGCAACUACGUGGGAUUCUGUCCAAAAAAGAGAGAUAAUCUUUUGCGGGGUGAAAAGAAAAAAUAUAAUUGUGCAUAGUUUUGAUGAGCCCUUUACUUUGCAAUCAUAGCCUACCCUGCAUUUGCUUCUGAAAUUGGGGACAUCAAUAAACUCCCCCCCACACACACAAUGAAUCUGGCUGUGCUUAUCAAAUGGCUCCAGCUCAAACGUAUCUAGAACUGUUUACUGUUUGGUUAGGCAGCUCUGGCCAGUGGCUGGGUGGGGUGAGGGCUAGGCAGUGAACGGAUGGAAGAGAAACGAUGCACUGGUGUUUUCUGUUCAUGUGUGUAUAUUUACAGACCUGGACACACUUGUCCUCGCAUCUUGUGCAAUUUAACUCCUAGAGAGCUGGGAGGAAGCUGAACCCAGAAGAAUGGCAACGCUAGCAAAUAACAUAAAAGGUAUUGAUGACAAGCUCCCCACAGACAAAGAAAAUAGGAGCAAUAUUUUCCCAGGGCCCGUUAUCAGAACAUAGGGAAAAGUGAAGGAUGUGAUGCAAUUUGGAGAGCAAGAACAGUCAGCCAUGGUUCUGCCUUGCAUCGCCACUCACUCUCAGGCCAGAAGUCCUGGUAGAUAACCAGACAUAGGAAGCUGCCUUGUGCUGGGUCAAGCCACAGGUCCAUCUAGCUCAUUAC